ACUAGAUUUGAGAUAACAUCUAAAAGUUCCUCCUAGCCUCAUCCAGCAACAACAGAUCUCGCGGUGCAACUUUCAGUUUCAACAAGGCAUCCUUCUUCCUCUCUUACUGGUCGGCUCUCUAAUCCCUUUCAAUCCAACACAUCUUUCUCUCGUUAAUCAGUCACGGUAUCCACAUAUUUCUGUCUCUCAAAUCUCUUUCUUGGGUUUAUUUUCUCUGAUGAGGUCUCAAUUUCAUUUUAGUCUUGAUGGGAUCAGAGGAAGAUGCGUAGAAUGGCAUCAUGGAUUCACGGAUUCUAAAGCCUUUUUAUUUUAUUUUUUAUUUUUUUAAGGCGAGCAAGGCCGAGGUCGAGGUCGCCGAAUUUUGGCGAGCCGAGCGAGCCCGAACAUGGCUCGGCUCGGCUCGGCUCAUUUGCAGCCAAAAUAAAACCAAUCACACGAUGGUGCCAAUUUCAAUUUAGUUCUGGAGGGAGAGAGAGACUGGGGUUAGAGAGAGGGUUCUUGGGGUUUUUUUUUUUGAGAGAGGGAGAAAUGGCGACUCUACGGCGCCAAUUGUUGACCUUCCGGCGACACACCGCCGCUGCCGGCAGCGGAUACUUUAGGAUUUUAAGGACUUUGCGCUGGAUCGAUCUCAGGAGGAGAAAGAUCACCGCUAAUAGGGUGUGCAGACUCUCAACUUUCCGCCUUUGUCGCCCCUAUUCGCACCCUAGAUUUUUGGAGGAAGCGCUUGGUAGUUGGGUUCGACGACGUACUUUGGCGGAUGUCUAUGACCACGAAUUCAUAGUUAGCAAUUCAAGGGAGAUUGAUUACCUAUCGGUAUCCUAUCCAUCUCGCGUUCUGAUUUCUUGCCCCCUCCAUCUUCGCUGGAGACCGUUCAAGAGGAUCCGAUUGGCUGCACACGCAAGAGAGUUCGAUUUCACUUUUUUAGGGUUGAUUAUUGGAAUGCGGCGGCGAUGAUAGGGUUCUGAUUUCAGUGGGUACUUGGUCUGAUUGGCUGCUGGACAACAAGAGGUCUUAAACUGUAUUUCUUUUUUCUACAAAAACACUGUACAUGAUUGAGCAACGGGUUUACAUCAUAGUUGUUUUUGGAUUUGCACUGCAAUUUUCCCCCUAAAACUCUGUACAUGGCAUGGCUGAGCAACAGGGGGUACUUGGUCUGAUUGGCUGCUGGACAACAAGAGGUCUUAAACUGCAUUAUUUUUU